CCCAGCCAAACAAGCAUCUUCCAUCGUGUUGCUGCCUCGCACCCUCGGUCUGCAUGUUUCCUUCCUGUAGCUUCCACUGCACGCCCGCCCGCCCGGCUCUUCCAUUCGUUCCCAACCCACCUCGUCUUCCCCAACUCACCUCUCCAGCUCUCCUCUCCUUUAAAAGCUCUUCCGAGCUUUCACCUCACAACACAACACGACCCCCGCUUCUUCCAAUUAAACCUUGCUUGCUCCCCUCCUUAUUGCUUAGUAAGUUAACCUGAUCGACCGAUCCUAUCCAUAUCUCCAGUGAGCCCAAGCUCGAUCGUGUCUUCAAUCCAAAGGAACUCCCGGGAACAAGACAGGCCCGGGAGAAACGAAUCGAUAGGGACUUGUCCUAAGCUAAAGAAACCGCCCGAGAGAGCUCCCUAUCCUAUCCACCCAUCGCCAUGGCGGGUCAGUGCUCUGUCCUUGCCCGUGCGCACCACCAACAGUGUCGUCGGUCACCCAGAAACUAAGAGAGCAAGGGGUGAGAGAAGAAACUCUCGCGCGCAGCAGCCGCCGCCGAACUCUUUUGGUUGUUUCUUUGGGGUAGCGAGAAUGCGGCAGCUCUCGUCGCUGCUGCAGGGGCUGGCCCGAUUGAUGGCUGGAAAAGAGAGGAAGGAGGAGGAUCCGCAGGGGACGGUGCUGCGGAUGUCGGGGACGCUGCGGGGCGAGGGCUCCGGGACCUUGGCCGCCGUGUGGUCUCGCCGCGGCGAGAAGGGCACCAACCAGGACUGCUCCGUCGUCUGGGAGGGAUUCGGAUGCCAGGAUGACACCGUCUUCUGCGGCAUCUUCGACGGCCACGGCCAGUGGGGCCACUACGUCUCCAAGGCCGUCCGGGACUCGCUGCCGUCGUCGCUGUUGUGCCGUUGGCAGGAGGCCGUCGCGCUGGCGUCGCUCAUCGACGGCGAGAAGAAGCUCGGCGACUGCCAGUUCGACCUCUGGAGGCAGUCCUACCUGGCGGCCGCCGCAGCCGUCGACGAAGAGCUCCGCCGCAGCCGCCGUCUCGACGCGGUCAACAGUGGCUCCACGGCGCUGUCGAUCGUCAAGAAGGGUAACAUGAUGGUGAUCGCGAACGUGGGCGACUCCCGAGCCGUCCUGGGGACCACGUCGGACGACGGCAGCAUCGCCGCCGUCCAGCUCACCGUCGACUUCAAACCCAACCUGCCUCAGGAGAAGGCGCGCAUCGUGCAGUGCAAGGGUCGCGUGCACUGCCACGAGGACGAGCCCGGCGUGCACCGGGUGUGGCUGCCCGACCGGGAGGCGCCGGGGCUGGCCAUGUCGCGCGCGUUCGGCGACUACUGCGUCAAGGACUACGGCGUGAUCUCGGCGCCGGAGGUGACGCAGAGGAAGAUCACCGCCCGGGACCAGUUCGUCAUCCUGGCCACCGACGGGGUUUGGGACGUGGUCACCAACGAAGAGGCGGUGCAGAUCGUGGCUGACACGCCGGAGAGGGAGAAGGCGGCGAAGCGCCUGGUCCAGUGCGCCGUCCGCGCCUGGAGGCGCAAGCGGCGGGGCUACGCCGUCGACGACUGCUCGGCGAUCUGCCUCUUCCUCCACCACUCGCCGCUAUCGUAGGCGGACAGCUUCGUCCCCGCAUUGCCGUGUGGACAAGGAAGAGAGAGAGAGACGCCCGUCCUUCUCUUGGUAGAGCGAGUGCAGACGUCGCGAUCAGAGACCGAAAGACCGCUGCAGAUCAUGAGAGCGUGCGGCAGCUCGUCGUGACCGGGACGCAUGGACGGUGGGCGAACGUAACUGCUGCCGGUGGUGGAUGACCGAAAGAUGAGGACGACAUGCUCCGACUGUCACCCCUCGACAGCUGCUGCGAUCUGAACCGUGGACCAGAAAAUAUCUGACCGAGGCAUCCUACAGUGAAUGCUGAAUGCCAUGCCCAUGAUUGAUCGCCCGGGAUCUGGGACCGGAAGGAUAGGUUCAGGAGCAUACUUUUCUAAGUCCAUUUACUGUUGCUGCUAUACAAUCACAACCAACGAGGGGACGAGCGCGAGGCCGCGACCAGAGUAGCCGAGAGAAUGGGACUUGCAGAUGGCUGGACGCCUGGAGGUGCCGCUGUGCUGGUGGCUGGUGUGGUUGUCGUCGCAGCGCCGCCGCCAGCAGCGGCAGCUAGGUCGAUCCUGUUGGUGAACGAGUAGAGGGCUGUGUGCCGUGGGCUCGACUUCGCGUGGCCUGUUGCCUGGGCUGGAGCCUGGAGAU